AACCUCACUGCUAUAGGCUAUUAUUUGGAAGACCAUUAUAUUGAAGAACAACAUCAAACUUCUAGAAGUCAUGAAAGGCAUGAAAGAAGUUAUACUGGAUAGAAACUGUACGAAAGUAACCAAUGUGGUAAAGCCUUUUCAUGUCACUGUGGUCUCCAAUAUAAUAAAGGAACACAUACUGGAGAGAAACCUUAUGAAUUUAAUCAAUGUGGUAA